rnacentral:rRNA from 1 species
GCUAGCGGCAGGCCUAACAAUGCAAUUCGAGCGGUAACAGUCCUUCGGGAUGCUGACGAGCGGCGGACGGGUGAGUAAUGCAUAGGAAUCUGCCCGGUAGUGGGGGAUAACCUGGGGAAACCCAGGCUAAUACCGCAUACGUCCUACGGGAGAAAGGGGGCUCCGGCUCCCGCUAUUGGAUGAGCCUAUGUCGGAUUAGCUAGUUGGUGAGGUAAUGGCUCACCAAGGCAACGAUCCGUAGCUGGUCUGAGAGGAUGAUCAGCCACAUCGGGACUGAGACACGGCCCGAACUCCUACGGGAGGCAGCAGUGGGGAAUAUUGGACAAUGGGGGCAACCCUGAUCCAGCCAUGCCGCGUGUGUGAAGAAGGCCCUCGGGUUGUAAAGUACUUUCAGCGAGGAGGAAAGGUGGUAAAUUAAUACUUUAUCACUGUGACGUUACUCGCAGAAGAAGCACCGGCUAACUCCGUGCCAGCAGCCGCGGUAAUACGGAGGGUGCAAGCGUUAAUCGGAAUUACUGGGCGUAAAGCGCAUGCAGGCGGUUUGUUAAGCGAGAUGUGAAAGCCCCGGGCUCAACCUGGGAACUGCAUUUCGAACUGGCAAACUAGAGUUCUUGAGAGGGUGGUAGAACAUCAGGUGUAGCGGUGAAAUGCGUAGAGAUCUGAAGGAAUACCAGUGGCGAAGGCGGCCACCUGGCAAGUAACUGACGCUCAGAUGCGAAAGCGUGGGUAGCAAACGGGAGUUAGAUACCCCGGUAGUCCACGCCGUAAACGAUGUCUACUCGGAGUUUGGCCUUGAGAACUGGGCUCUUAAGCUAACGCAUUAAGUGACCGCCUGGGGAGUACGGCCGCAAGGUAAAACUCAAAUGAAUUGAACG